rnacentral:rRNA from 1 species
AUUGAACGCUGGCGGCAGGCCUAACACAUGCAAGUCGAGCGGAUGAAGGGAGCUUGCUCCUGGAUUCAGCGGCGGACGGGUGAGUAAUUCCUAGGAAUCUGCCUUGUAGUUGGGGAUAACGUCCGUAAACGGGCGCUAAUACCGCAUACGUCCUGAGGUAGAAAGUGGGGGAUCUUCGGACCUCACGCUAUCAGAUGAGCCUAGGUCGGAUUAGCUAGUUGGUGGGGUAAAGGCCUACCAAGGCGACGAUCCGUAACUGGUCUGAGAGGAUGAUCAGUCACACUGGAACUGAGACACGGUCCAGACUCCUACGGGAGGCAGCAGUGGGGAAUAUUGGACAAUGGGCGAAAGCCUGAUCCAGCCAUGCCGCGUGUGUGAAGAAGGUCUUCGGAUUGUAAAGCACUUUAAGUUGGGAGGAAGGGCAGUAAGUUAAUACCUUGCUGUUUUGACGUUACCAACAGAAUAAGCACCGGCUAACUUCGUG